AUUGAACGCUGGCGGCAGGCCUAACACAUGCAAGUCGAGCGAGCGGCGGACGGGUGAGUAAUGUAUGGGGACUGCCCGAUAGAGGGGGAUAACUACUGGAAACGGUGGCUAAUACCGCAUACUAUCGGAUGACCCAUAUGGGAUUAGCUAGUAGGUGGGGUAAAGGCUCACCUAGGCGACGAUCUCUAGCUGGUCUGAGAGGAUGAUCAGGCACACUGGGACUGAGACACGGCCCAGACUCCUACGGAGGCAGCAGGUGGGAAGAUUGGAAAAUGGGCGCAAGCCUGAUGCAGCCAUGCCGCGGGAGUGAUGACGGCCUUCGGGUUGUAAAGCUCUGUUAGUCGGGAGGCGGUACCGGAAUAGAAAGCCACGGCUAACUACGUGCCAGCCGCCGCGGUAAUAC
rnacentral:rRNA from 1 species